ACGAGUUUUAAUUGUUAGGUUAGAGUUGAGCUGGUUAAUCUAAUUAAUAUGUGCUUACUCUAAUCGAAACAAGUCCACUCAUUACUUAACACUUGUGAACUUAUUCAUUACAAACAUUAUUAUUUGUAAUGAAUAAGUUCACAAGUGUUAAGUAAUGAGUGGACUUGUUUCGAUUAGAGUAAGCACAUAUUAAUUAGCCUAUACAUGGUCAACUUUAACUAACAAUUAAAAGUCGUACAUGAUCUUCUGUAGGUUAACCUACGGAAGGAUCAUUAUUGAUUUUAGUUAUUUGUGAACGUACUACGAACAAACAAAAAAUAUUAUAGUCAAAAAAAAACUAAAUCA
rnacentral:misc_RNA from 1 species